CCUACGGGUGGCAGCAGUGGGGAAUAUUGCGCAAUGGGCGCAAGCCUGAUGCAGCCAUGCCGCGUGUGUGAAGAAGGCCUUCGGGUUGUAAAGCACUUUCAGCGGGGAGGAAGGCGGUGAGGUUAAUAACCUCAUCGAUUGACGUUACCCGCAGAAGAAGCACCGGCUAACUCCGUGCCAGCAGCCGCGGUAAUACGGAGGGUGCAAGCGUUAAUCGGAAUUACUGGGCGUAAAGCGCACGCAGGCGGUCUGUCAAGUCGGAUGUGAAAUCCCCGGGCUCAACCUGGGAACUGCAUUCGAAACUGGCAGGCUAGAGUCUUGUAGAGGGGGGUAGAAUUCCAGGUGUAGCGGUGAAAUGCGUAGAGAUCUGGAGGAAUACCGGUGGCGAAGGCGGCCCCCUGGACAAAGACUGACGCUCAGGUGCGAAAGCGUGGGGAGCAAACAGGAUUAGAUACCCCAGUAGUC
rnacentral:rRNA from 1 species